rnacentral:misc_RNA from 1 species
UUCUGCAUGUUUUUCAAACCAAGUAAUGUUGCACUAAACAAGUGGAUUGACAAAGAAUAGCAACAAAUUUAUUGUCCCAAAAAAAACUAUAAUCAUGCACUGAAAAACAACCUUUCGUCAACAAAAGAAUGGCACAAAUUUCCAUUGAUAAAGUCUAAGAUAACAGAUGGUCAGUAUCUAACUUGUUUUGUGUUUUUUUUAAUUUUAAUUACUUUUUUGUAGCAAAAUGUUUUAUAAUUAGAUUCAUUUUCAUGUUGUGAAGAAUACAACUUUCUACAUCAGAUGAGAUAUAUGUUAAAGAAAGCAUUAAAAAUAAGAAUAACAAAUCAUACCGCUCUUCAUUGCCAGAACCUCCGCCACCUAUUAUGAAUAAGCCCAAUGCUAAAAAGUUGUUAUCAGGUUCAGAGAUUGAAGAAGAUGUUUUUUCUUCACAUUUUAUUGAUGAACGCAAUAAAUCCAAGCAAAGUUCACAUUGUCAAAGAGUUUCAAGUUUUAAUAGAUGCAAAAUGUUAUUCUCAACGAGCUUGCAGAAAUAAAAGUUCUUUUAAAAGAAGUUAUAGAAAUUAAGUUUCAGGCUACUGAGGUGAAGUUGCUAGAAUCAGUGGAUGAAGUGGUUACUCUGGAUAACAAACUAAAAGAUAAAACCGAGUAUACUAAUUUGAAAUAUGAUUAAAAGGGACCAAAAGCAAUUCAUUUUGACCGUUAUUUGUUAUGGAUUUACUUUUAACAUGAAAAUUUGAUAAACUCUGUAGCUUCACUG